UCGAACGCGAAAGCCCCGCAAGGGGUGAGUAGAGUGGCAAACGGGUGAGUAACACGUGGGUGACCUGCCUGAGAGUGGGGGAUAACGACCCGAAAGGGUCGCUAAUACCGCAUAACAUCCUGCGUUUGGAGACGCGGAGAUCAAAGCCGGGGAUCGCAAGACCUGGCGCUUACAGAGGGGCCCGCGGCCGAUUAGCUAGUUGGUAGGGUAACGGCCUACCAAGGCAACGAUCGGUAUCCGGCCUGAGAGGGCGGACGGACACACUGGGACUGAGACACGGCCCAGACUCCUACGGGAGGCAGCAGUGGGGAAUUGUUCGCAAUGGGCGCAAGCCUGACGACGCAACGCCGCGUGGAGGAUGAAGAUCUUCGGGUCGUAAACUCCUUUCGAUCGGGAAGAACGUUUUCCGGGUGAACAAUCCGGAGAAGUGACGGUACCGAGAGAAGAAGCCCCGGCUAACUCUGUGCCAGCAGCCGCGGUAAUACAGGGGGGGCAAGCGUUGUUCGGAAUUACUGGGCGUAAAGGGCUUGUAGGCGGCCGAUUAAGUCCGACGUGAAAUCCCCAGGCUUAACCUGGGAACUGCGUCGGAUACUGAUUGGCUUGAAUCCGGGAGAGGAAUGCGGAAUUCCAGGUGUAGCGGUGAAAUGCGUAGAUAUCUGGAGGAACACCGGUGGCGAAGGCGGCAUUCUGGACCGGCAUUGACGCUGAAAAGCGAAAGCCAGGGGAGCAAACGGGAUUAGAUACCCCGGUAGUCC
rnacentral:rRNA from 1 species